rnacentral:misc_RNA from 1 species
GUGAAUCAUCGAAUCUUUGAACGCACAUUGCGCCCUAUGGUAUUCCGUAGGGCAUGCCUGUUCGAGCGUCAUUUACACCUUCAAGCCCUGCUUGGUGUUGGGUGACUGUGGCCCCCCGGGCCACUCGCCUUAAAGUCAUUGGCGGCCGGUACGUAGGCUUCGAGCGCAGCACAUGUGCGUCCUCGCGCCUCUCGGAUCGGCUCCCAGAAGCUAAACCUCACCGUUUGACCUCGAAUCAGGUAGGGAUACCCGCUGAACUUAAGCAUAUCAAUAAGCGGAGGA